GAUGAACGCUGGCGGCGUGCCUAAUAUAUGCAAGUCGAGCGAACGGACGAGAAGCUUGCUUCUCUGAUGUUAGCGGCGGACGGGUGAGUAACACGUGGAUAACCUACCUAUAAGACUGGGAUAACUUCGGGAAACCGGAGCUAAUACCGGAUGAUAUUUUGAACCGCAUGGUUCAAAAGUGAAAGACGGUCUUGCUGUCACUUAUAGAUGGAUCCGCGCUGCAUUAGCCAGUUGGUAAGGUAACGGCUUACCAAGGCAACGAUGCAUAGCCGACCUGAGAGGGUGAUCGGCCACACUGGAACUGAGACACGGUCCAGACUCCUACGGGAGGCAGCAGUAGGGAAUCUUCCGCAAUGGGCGAAAGCCUGACGGAGCAACGCCGCGUGAGUGAUGAAGGUCUUCGGAUCGUAAAACUCUGUUAUUAGGGAAGAACAUAUGUGUAAGUAACUGUGCACAUCUUGACGGUACCUAAUCAGAAAGCCACGGCUAACUACGUG
rnacentral:rRNA from 1 species